rnacentral:rRNA from 1 species
GAUCCUGGCUCAGGACGAACGCUGGCGGCGUGCUUAACACAUGCAAGUCGAGCGGUAAGGCCUUUCGGGGUACACGAGCGGCGAACGGGUGAGUAACACGUGGGUGAUCUGCCCUGCACUUCGGGAUAAGCCUGGGAAACUGGGUCUAAUACCGGAUAUGACCUCCUAUCGCAUGGUGGGUGGUGGAAAGAUUUAUCGGUGCAGGAUGGGCCCGCGGCCUAUCAGCUUGUUGGUGGGGUAAUGGCCUACCAAGGCGACGACGGGUAGCCGACCUGAGAGGGUGACCGGCCACACUGGGACUGAGACACGGCCCAGACUCCUACGGGAGGCAGCAGUGGGGAAUAUUGCACAAUGGGCGAAAGCCUGAUGCAGCGACGCCGCGUGAGGGACGACGGCCUUCGGGUUGUAAACCUCUUUCAGCAGGGACGAAGCGCAAGUGACGGUACCUGCAGAAGAA